AAGGAGGUGAUCCAGCCACAUGGGGACUGCGACACGGCCCUGACACCUACGGGUGGCAGCAACUAGGAAUCUUGGACAAUGGGGGAAACCCUGAUCCAGCGACGCCGCGUGGAGGAUGAAGGUCGAAAGAUUGUAAACUUCUUUUGUAUGGGAACAAAAUGAGGGUACCAUACGAAUAAGCUACUGCUAACUUCGUGCCAGCAGCAGCGGUGAUACGGGGGUAGCGAGCGUUAUCCGGAAUUAUUGGGCGUAAAGAGAUGCGUAGGCGUUUUAUUAAGUCUUAAGUGAAAUUCUAUAGCUUAACUAUGGACCUGCUUAGGAAACUGAUAGAAUUGAGAAAAGCAGAGGAAGGUAGAAUUCUCCGAGGAACGGUAAUAUGUGUUGAUACGGAGAGGAAUACCAAUGGCGAAGGCAACCUUCUGGGCUUUUUCUGACGCUGAGGCUCGAAAGCGUGGGGAGCAAAAAGGAUUAGAUACCCUUGUAGUCCACGCCGUAAACGAUGCUUACUAUGUAUUCGUUAUGUUGAUUUCUUUUCUUCGGAAAAGAUUUCCCCGCAUAAUGAGUGCAACAGCUAACGCGUUAAGUAAGCCGCCUGUGGAGUACGGCCGCAAGGCUAAAACAUAAAGGAAUUGACGGGGACCCGCACAAGCGGUGGAGCGCCUGGUUUAAUUCGACGAUGACCGAAGAAUCUUACCAGGAUUUGACAUGUAGAGAAUUCCAGGGAAACUUGGAAGUGCCCGCAAGGGAGCUCUAACACAGGUGCUGCAUGGCUGUCGUCAGCUCGUGUCGUGAGAUGUUUGGUUAAGUCCAUCAACGAGCGCAACCCUCACCCAAUGUUGUAUUUCUUUGGGGACUGCCUGGUUUCAACCAGGAGGAAGGCGAGGAUGACGCCUAGUCCGCAUGGCCCUUAUGUCCUGGGCAACACAGACGCUACAAUGGUCGGUACAAAGGGAAGCCAACCCGCGAGGGGGAGCAAAUCCCAUAAAGCCGAUCUCAGUUCGGAUUGCAGUCCGAAACUCGACGCAUGAAGCUGGAAUCGCUAGUAAACGUGCGUCAGUUAUAGCACGUUGAAUACGUUCUCGGGUCUUGUACACACCGCCUGUCAAGUCAUGGGAGUUGGAAAUACCCGAAUGGUUAUCGGUUUUAAUCAGAAGGUAGGUUCGGCGACUGUGAUUAAGUCAUAACAAGGUAGCCGUAGGGGAAUCUGCGGAUGGAUCACCUCCUU
rnacentral:rRNA from 1 species